AGUCAUCAGCCCCUCCCGUUUUUUGUGCGAGAGGAAGGUUGGAACUGGGGGCCUGCGGCUGUGAUGCCGCUCCCCUCAAAUGCUUCGGUUGGGCCUGUGGGUCGAACUCGGUUGGGCGUUGUAUCAUCCCCUCGCUCUUUUUCCCGAGAUGUUCCCCUUUUGAUUGUGCCCUCCCACGACCUGCCUCCUUGGAGUGGCGGUCAAGCUAAUUUGAA
rnacentral:misc_RNA from 1 species